rnacentral:rRNA from 1 species
AUGUCCAAGAAAAGGAGACCAGUUAUGCUGAAUGCUAUGUUACAUUGGUUGCAUGGUGGAUACAAAACUUAUGCAGUGUCAGAUUCCAUGGUUACAACUACCGCGGAAGGGUGGUUUCCAGUUUUGCCCUACUGGAAAAGCCUUAUUAUAUAUGGUUAUAUGUUUGCACAGAUUCAAUGGGAGAUUGCAUGGUUGAUUGGUCCCUUACAAGCCAAUAUUAGCUCCUUCAAGGCAUACUCUAAUUCCUGUGGUUUUAAGUUGCAGCAAUGGAGGAUUGCUUGGUCGCUAAAUGAUGCAUUUUUACAGCAUGAACUUCUAUCUUGCUCUUGUGGAGCUGUUUCAUUCUCUGUUUCAGAACAAGUUCAAGGGAAAAUCACUUGGUCACUCUGCUAUGAUUUUUCUGUCCUCGACAACAUCUCAGUGUGGUUCUUAUGUAAGUGUUAA